rnacentral:tRNA from 1 species
GGAGGCGUGCCGGAGUGGUUGAACGGGCCGCUCUCGAAAAGCGGUAUCUGCCAAAAGCGGAUCGGUGGUUCGAAUCCACCCGCCUCCGCCC